rnacentral:rRNA from 1 species
UACUAGAGUAGCACUCGCAUAUCAAUAAGCGGAGGAAAAGAAACUAACAAGGAUUCCCUUAGUAACGGCGAGUGAAGCGGGAAGAGCUCAAAUUUGAAAUCUUCAAGGUUUUACCUUGACGAAUUGUAGUUUAAAGAAGUGUUUUCUGUUGAAGUUUUGGUAAAAGUUCUUUGGAAUAGGACAUCAUAGAGGGUGAGAAUCCCGUAUUUGACCAUUUCUUUCAGCUUUGUGAUACACUUUCAAAGAGUUGGAUUGUUUGGGAAUGCAGUCCAAAAUGGGUGGUAAAUUUCAUCUAAAGCUAAAUAUUGGCGAGAGACCGAUAGCGAACAAGUACCGUGAGGGAAAGAUGAAAAGAACUUUGAAAAGAGAGUUAAACAGUACGUGAAAUUGUCAAAAGGGAAGCGUUUGACACCAGUGUUGUUUUCUCGAAAAUCAAUUUAAAAUGGCCGGAUGCUAAGUGGCUAAGACCUUAUAAGCUUGUUUCUUAGUUUUCUUGUCUUUCUUAAUGCACUUUUCGUUUAACAAGUCAACAUCAAUUUCUUUUGUUGUAAAAGGGUAAGAGGAAGGUGGCUUGCCUUCGGCUCAAGUGUUUAUAGCCUUUUACCUCUGCAGUCGGAGAGAUUGAGGUCUGCAGCGUAGACUCUUCGGGGUUAGAUACAUUUGUGCUAAGCUAUAGCCUUUUAUAGACAACUUGUUGACUAUGCUCAGUCAUGUAGCUUUACUCGCUUAUGCUAUUUUACCUACGCUUAGGAUGUUGAAGAUAUGCGCGACACG